rnacentral:rRNA from 1 species
CAGUCGCCGCGGUAAUACGAAGGGUGCAAGCGUUAAUCGGAAUUACUGGGCGUAAAGCGUGCGUAGGCGGUCCGCUAAGACAGAUGUGAAAUCCCCGGGCUUAACCUGGGAACUGCAUUUGUGACUGGCGGGCUAGAGUAUGGCAGAGGGGGGUAGAAUUCCACGUGUAGCAGUGAAAUGCGUAGAUAUGCGGAGGAACACCGAUGGCGAAGGCAAUCCCCCGGACCUGUACUGACGCUCAUGUACGAAAGCGUGGGGAGCAAACAGGAUUAGAUACCCCGGUAGUCCCUGUCUCUUAUAC